UGGGAAAUAUUGGACAAUGGGCGAAAGCCUGAUCCAGCCAUGCCGCGUGAGUGAUGAAGGCCCUAGGGUUGUAAAGCUCUUUUGUGCGGGAAGAUAAUGACGGUACCGCAAGAAUAAGCCCCGGCUAACUUCGUGCCAGCAGCCGCGGUAAUACGAAGGGGGCUAGCGUUGCUCGGAAUCACUGGGCGUAAAGGGUGCGUAGGCGGGUUUCUAAGUCAGAGGUGAAAGCCUGGGGCUCAACUCCAGAACUGCCUUUGAUACUGGAAGUCUUGAGUUCGGGAGAGGUGAGUGGAACUGCGAGUGUAGAGGUGAAAUUCGUAGAUAUUCGCAAGAACACCAGUGGCGAAGGCGGCUCACUGGCCCGAUACUGACGCUGAGGCACGAAAGCGUGGGGAGCAAACA
rnacentral:rRNA from 1 species